rnacentral:rRNA from 1 species
GACGAACGCUGGCGGCGUGCCUAAUACAUGCAAGUCGAACGCAGUGGGGACGGUUGAGUAACACGUGGGUAACCUCCCAUCAAAGGGGAUAACACUUGGCAAAAGGUGCUAAAACGAUACUGGUUGAUGGACUCGCGGUGCAUUAGCUAGUUGGUGAGGUAACGGCUCACCAAGGCCACGAUGCAUAGCUGACCUGAGAGGGUGAUCGGCCACACUGGGACUGAGACACGGCCCAGACUCCUACGGGAGGCAGCAGUGGGGAAUAUUGGGCAAUGGACGAAAGUCUGACCGAGCAAUGCCGCGUGAGUGAAGAAGGUCUUCGGAUCGUAAAACUCUGUCGGUAGAGAAGCGGUAUCUAACCAGAAAGCAACGGCUAACUACGUGCCAGCAGCCGCGGUAAUUC